GGCCCGUUGGUCAAGCGGUUAAGACACCGCCCUUUCACGGCGGUAACACGGGUUCGAGUCCCGUAAGGGUCA
rnacentral:tRNA from 1 species